rnacentral:lncRNA from 10 species
CUACCUGUGUGUGUAUUAACACGCCGGCCUCCUCAUUACCUGUAUCAACUAUGGCCUGAGUAUGAUAGACUUAUCCAUGGUUUAAACAGAAUAUAUUGUUUUCAACUUUGAAAAUAAGAAUAUGGAAAUCCAGAUGCAGAAAUGUGAGAAGAAAAGAGAGUAAACAGAGUGGAAGGUCAGGUGACCUUGCCUGUCAUGAAUAUGAAGGUCAAGGUGUGUGAAUUGUGAAAUUUCCAAGAGAACCUCACUGAAGCAAAGAAUGAAGAAAGAAUUGCAUUUGGCCCUGGGAGGGUGCAGGGGUGAAUGGUGCAGGAGCUAAAUCUUUAUCAUACCCAGAAAUCAACAGCCACUAUUUGAAAUCAUCUAAAUUCGUGCUGCUAACCUUCAGUGUACACACGAAUCACCUGGGGAUCUUACUAAAAGCUAGUUUCUGAUUCACUAAAUCUGUGUGUGGUGGAAGUUGAGGGCAGAGAAGCUCCCGAGGGUGUCAAGCUGACUCUGAACCCGACUUUGAGGGUUAAGGUCCCAAAUGGCAUCGCCAGCACCAGGGACAGACACUAAAAUUGUAGAAAUCGUCUCAAGAAAUGAACAGCCUCUAAGUCAGAUGUUGAAUGUGAAAGAAAUCAGGGUGUGUACGUGUGUGUGCAUUUGUGUGUGCA